rnacentral:rRNA from 1 species
CCUACGGGAGGCAGCAGUGGGGAAUAUUGCACAAUGGGCGAAAGCCUGAUGCAGCAACGCCGCGUGAAGGAACAAGGGUUUCGGCUCGUAAACUUCUAUCAUCAGGGACGAAAGAAAUGACGUUACCCGAAUAAGAAGCCCCGCCCAACUACGUGCCAGCAGCCGCGGUAAUACGUAGGGGGCAAGCGUUAUCCGGAUUUACGGGGUGAAAAGGGUGAGUAGGCGGGAUGGUAAGCCAGUUGUGAAAGCCUUGGGCUUAACCCGAGGAUUGCAUUUGGAACUAUGUAGCUAGAGUGCAGGAGAGGAAAGCGGAAUUCCGGGUGUAGCGGUGAAAUGCGUAGAUAUUAGGAAGAACACCAGUGGCGAAGGCGGAUUUCUGGACUGAAACUGACGCUGAGGCGCGAAAGCGUGGGGAGCGAACAGGAUUAGAUACCCUUGUAGUC